rnacentral:rRNA from 1 species
AAAGCCUCCUUCGGGGGGCAAGUAGAGUGGCGCACGGGUGAGUAACACGUAGGUAAUCUACCUUUGGAUUGGGAAUAACCACCGGAAACGGUGGCUAAUACCGAAUAAUGCAGCGGCACCUAAUGGUGACAGUUGUUAAAGCGGGGGAUCGCAAGACCUCGCGUCUGAAGAGGAGCCUGCGGCAGAUUAGCUAGUUGGUAAGGUAACGGCUUACCAAGGCGAUGAUCUGUAGCCGGCCUGAGAGGGCGGUCGGCCACACUGACACUGACAUACGGGUCAGACUCCUACGGGAGGCAGCAGUCGGGAAUUUUGGGCAAUGGGCGAAAGCCUGACCCAGCAACGCCGCGUGAAGGAUGAAAUCCCUCGGGAUGUAAACUUCGCAAGAACGGGAAGAAUAAGUAAGAGUUAAUAUCUCUUACGAUGACGGUACUGUUUGUAAGCUCCGGCUAACUCCGUGCCAGCAGCCGCGGUAAUACGGGGGGAGCAAGCGUUGUUCGGAUUUACUGGGCGUAAAGGGCGCGUAGGCGGCCACCGCAAGUCGACUGUGAAAUCUCCGGGCUUAACCCGGAAAGGUCAGCCGAUACUGCGGGGCUAGAGUGCAGAAGGGGCAACUGGAAUUCUCGGUGUAGCGGUGAAAUGCGUAGAUAUCGAGAGGAACACCUGCGGCGAAGGCGGGUUGCUGGGCUGACACUGACGCUGAGGCGCGAAAGCUAGGGGAGCGAACGGGAUUAGAUACCCCGGUAGUCCUAGCCUUAAACGAUGAAUGCUUGGUGUCUGGGGUUUUAUAGUCCCCCGGGUGCCGUCGCUAACGCUUUAAGCA